rnacentral:lncRNA from 1 species
GAAGAUGUGAUUGUAUAUAUCAUAUGUGUUACACACAUGUCCUUUAUAUAAGAUUACAAAAUCAGUUAUAAGUAAACCAAAGGUCUAGUUAGUGAAAAGCCAAAGGUUUGGCUAGUGAAAAGCCAAAGGACAUCCACAUAAAUAUAUUAUUUAUAACACUCCCCCUUGGAUGUCCGUUAAACGAAAUAAUGUCUCGUUAUAGCCUUCUUGGAAAAACCCUGUGGGAUAAAAACCAAGCGAAGGAACAAAAAUAUCUAUUUCAUAAUGUGCACGUGAUGCUGCCUCGUUAAAAACCUUUCCAGGAAAACCCAGUGGGAAAAACCAUGGAUAAGGAAAAAAGAGUGCAGUGUGCAUUUGCUCCCCCUCAUGAUUAUAUUAAAUAAUAUCUCUAAGUUGAAGAGCUCCUCUGUUCCAGAACUUCUCAAAUAUAUGUUAAAAGUGCCUUCAUUGGGUUGUAGCUAUCAUAAGCAGUCAGUGGAGCUUUCAUAUAUAUAUAGUCGGUGGAGUUCUCAUCCUUGUCAUGCUACACUGUUUCUCCAGCUUUAGCCAUCUUAGAUUGCCGAAGUCAAAAUAUUGUGGAAGAAGUUCUUGCAAAAACUCAUUUUAUACCAAACUCCAAUAUAAUUUAAUCAAUUUUGAUCCACCGUUAAUAUUAAUUGAAAUGAGGACUUUGCUCCUGCAAAAUUAACUUAAAAACCUUAUGAGAUUGAUUAGUGGAGAUUGAAUAAACUCUCAAGAUUCACACGCCUUUAGAGCGAGCAAUUACUUAGCAAUGAAUACUAAUCAAAAGCGGAAAACCAACUUUUAAUAAAUUUAUAAUUAUGUCAAAACGUGUAUGAUAAAACAUGUUGUAGUUUACUUAGAUACGGUACUUCAUUACCGAGAAUUUCUUUCAAGUGUUCACAAAAGUUAGUGUACUAUCGUGUAUUUAUAAUCCUUGUGGGAUUCACAUAUGACAAUAUAUCAUUCAUCCAAAGAGAAAUUCUUCUUCCAAUAUAUACACCAAGAAACAUUUUAUCACAUAAUAUAACAUAUAGUAUUUUAAUCAGGUGCAACUCAAUUCAAUGUUAACUAGAAACACAUUCUAGUUUCCAUCUGCUCUGGCCAGAGACUUUAUGAGUUGUCACCUAUAAUUUGAUAUAUAAUGAUAACAUGUAUUUGUCAAAAUAAUUUUGUGUUGGACUGCUGGUCCGAAUCCCUGUUCCAUUUGAGAGGGUGUAGUUCUCGAGAGUUUGUUAUACUGCUUCUGGCAGUUAAGAUCCUUCUAGGAUGAUUAUUGUCAAGUGGGUCGUAUAAAACUUAAAUCGAACCUUCACAUAUUCCGGGACUAUUUCGCAAUCAAAUAAUCAUUUCCACCACAAAUACUAUUACUCUUCAUGACCAAUGCAAGGUCAUCAUACAAAUAUCUGAGUUUCACAUAAUAAUUUAUUUAUUUUUUGAAACUUCAUUUUGUUUUCAAAAAACUUUUAUAUCCCACUGACUUGACACCUUUAGGUGUGUUAACUGCAGUUUCAAAUAUUUCUCUAUUUUUAAGAGAUAAUGAUUCGUACGGCGCACUAUUUUCACAAUUUUGGGUGUGAGAGGACUACUGGUCCAAAUAAUUUUUCUUUAUAAUUGCCUCAGUUAUAUCCUUUAUUCUUUGGCCAAUUAUAUCAAUAUUUUCUAACAGAUUCUGCUUCAUGAUCCUCAUUGUUAUCAAUAACCUCAAGUUCUAUAAAUAUCAUCGACGUCGAUUCGAUUUAUGGUUCCACUUUAUUCUGGACAAGACAUAGUAUAUCGAGAUCUCAAUAAUUUUCAUUACUUUUAUUUUCUCUAAUUUGUCAUGUCCAUAAUCUCUUCCGGAGAUCCUUCGAUGUCAUAUCUAUAAUCUCUUCCGGAGAUCCUUCAAAAAUUAUUGAUUUCUCAAUCCAGCCAUCAUCAAUUAUUGCUCCUUUUCACCUUUUUUGGUAUAAGAUAUAUAUAUGGAACCAACUUGCCUAUCACGCUUCAGGCGUUCUUUAGACAUAACAAUAUCUUGAGGUUGUCCUUCUGCGACAUUAAUAUCAUAGGAGCAUAUGUAGCCGGUGUUUGUGUCAUAGUCACUAUUUUUGGUCAUCAAAAUGAAUUAUCUUAUGAACUUCUGGUUCAUAUUCUUUAUUUUGAGGAUCAAGAUGAGGCAAUGAUAAUUCAUUCUUAUACUUCUAUUUUCACCGGCUAUUUAUUUUCUCCCCCUGAUUUUGAGAAAACAACUCAUCAAGUCAUAACAAAUACAUAUUGAUGAUUCCAAAUGCACUCAUAUGUAAUAUAUGAAUCGAUCUUACUAACGUGGUGGAAAAUCUAUGAUGAUCAAAUAAUUUAUUUAUGAUGGGGGGAGAUUAAUAACAAUUGUUUAUAUGAUGCGAAUCGAUAAAUAUGUGAUACAAAAUACUCAACAAUUAUUAUGGACGAGAUAAUACUCGUUAUGAGAUUCACCAGCAUUAUAAGCAUAUAUUCCAAAUAACAAAGCUUGCAUACUUCAGGAUGCAAGUUGAUAAUAACUUCGUAUAUUUUUCACAUGUCUCACUAUUCAAUAAUGGGAUAUUUAUAACUCAUGUCAUAUUUUCAUCUAUUCAUUCUCAAAGAUGAAAAAUCACAACUAUAUCUUUGCUGGUGAUCAAUUUUGCCUUAAAUAAUACAUGUAUCACUGAGAAGAAAAAACUUCUGGUUUACUUCAAAAUCUACAGGUCCAUAUAAAAUAUUAAUUACUAUUCGCAUCUUUAUCAUUAAGAUGGCUUAGCUAGUCAGGCCAAACUAUAACCUUAUAAGUAAACUUCUGGUUUACUUCAAAAUCAAUUUCAGUUAUGCUUAUUAUAAAUUAGUGGAGAAUCUUUCUCCAAAUUACUUUUAGUGCAAUGAAUUAGACUCAAUAUUUAAAGGCACUUGAUAUCUCAAUGCGAUAAUCAUAUCAAAUUUCAUUCUUCAAUUUUCUUGGGAGAGUAUAAUUGCAUCAAUUCUAUACAUGCUCUUCUGGGGUAAAAUUUACUUCAGAGAGUAGAUAAAUAUAUAUGCCCUUCGAGAGCCUUGUGCAUGCUCUUCAGGAGCCUUAUAUAUGCUCUUCCGGAGCUUUAUACUUUCUCUUCCCGAGUCUUAUAUUUAGAAAAAUUAUAAUGAGACAUCCUAUAUAAUCCUCCCCUUUGGAUGACUCAUUUUAGAUACGAAGUAUUGAUACUAGUCAUCUUUAUAUCAAUCGAGAGAAAUAUUUCUUAUACACAUAAUAAGAAUAUGAUUUAAAGUAUUUGUAAUGUCAUGACCAUUGCUACCAUCAUGGUUGAUAUCCUCUGAUUUUCUAAUACUGUCACAUUAUGGUACGGUAUCAUUUGUUGCAAUUCAUAAUCCUUUCAUCAAUAAUUCAAAUUUAGUAAACCACAUUUAGUCACGAUAUCAACUCAUGAACUUAACAACCCAAAUAUUUCAUCAAUUUCAUAAUAUUGUAUCUACGGGAUACAAUAUAAUAUUUAUUCUAUUAUAUCCAAAUAUUAUACUAUUCUUUAUAUAGAACCAUCCUUCAGGGGUAUUAUAUCAUUUAAGAUAAACUCAUAAAUUGAAUAUUAUACCACUAUAUCAUUCUUAUGGAAUGUAAUCAAGUGUUUAAACAUAUUAUAUAUACUAUGUUGACAUCUUUCAUCUUCAGAAAUUAAACAUAUAAAAAAUGUGUGAUAAAAAAUAAACUAAUUUUAUUAUAUAGAGACAACUUAUGGUUGUUAUUUCGUGCAACUUCU